rnacentral:rRNA from 1 species
GACGAACGCUGGCGGCGUGCUUAACACAUGCAAGUCGUACGGAAAGGCCCUGCUUUGGGGGGGUGCUCGAGUGGCGAACGGGUGAGUAACACGGGAGUAACCUGCCCUGGACGGGGGGAUAACUUCAGGAAACUGGGGCUAAUACCGGAUAGGAGCUCCUGCUGCAUGGUGGGGGUUGGAAAGGUUCGGCGGUUGGGGAUGGACUCGCGGCUUAUCAGCUUGUUGGUGGGGUAGUGGCUUACCAAGGCUUUGACGGGUAGCCGGCCUGAGAGGGUGACCGGCCACAUUGGGACUGAGAUACGGCCCAGACUCCUACGGGAGGCAGCAGUGGGGAAUAUUGCACAAUGGGCGGAAGCCUGAUGCAGCAACGCCGCGUGCGGGAUGACGGCCUUCGGGUUGUAAACCGCUUUCGCCUGUGACGAAGCGUGAGUGACGGUAAUGGGUAAAGAAGCACCGGCUAACUACGUG